rnacentral:rRNA from 1 species
AUUGAACGCUGGCGGCAUGCCUUACACAUGCAAGUCGAACGGUAACAGGUCUUUCGGGAUGCUGACGAGUGGCGAACGGGUGAGUAAUACAUCGGAACGUGCCUAGUAGUGGGGGAUAACUACUCGAAAGAGUGGCUAAUACCGCAUGAGAUCUAUGGAUGAAAGCAGGGGACCUUCGGGCCUUGUGCUGCUAGAGCGGCCGAUGGCAGAUUAGGUAGUUGGUGGGAUAAAAGCUUACCAAGCCUACGAUCUGUAGCUGGUCUGAGAGGACGAUCAGACAAACUGGGACUGAGACACGGCCCAGACUCCUACGGGAGGCAGCAGUGGGGAAUUUUGGACAAUGGGCGCAAGCCUGAUCCAGCAAUGCCGCGUGCAGGAUGAAGGCCUUCGGGUUGUAAACUGCUUUUGUACGGAACGAAAAGUCUUGGGUUAAUACCCUGGGAUCAUGACGGUACCGUAAGAAUAAGCACCGGCUAACUACGUGCCAGCAGCCGCCGUAACAC